AUUGAACGCUGGCGGCAUGCCUUACACAUGCAAGUCGAACGGCAGCACGGGUGCUUGCACCUGGUGGCGAGUGGCGAACGGGUGAGUAAUACAUCGGAACGUACCUUAUCGUGGGGGAUAACGCAGCGAAAGCUGUGCUAAUACCGCAUACGCCCUGAGGGGGAAAGCGGGGGAUCGAAAGACCUCGCGCGAUUAGAGCGGCCGAUGCCUGAUUAGCUUGUUGGUGGGGUAAAAGCCCACCAAGGCGACGAUCAGUAGCUGGUCUGAGAGGACGAUCAGCCACACUGGGACUGAGACACGGCCCAGACUCCUACGGGAGGCAGCAGUGGGGAAUUUUGGACAAUGGGGGCAACCCUGAUCCAGCAAUGCCGCGUGAGUGAAGAAGGCCUUCGGGUUGUAAAGCUCUUUUGUCAGGGAAGAAACACCGGCUCUAACACAGUCCGGGAAUGACGGUACCUGAAGAAUAAGCACCGGCUAACUACGUGCCAGCAGCCGCGGUAA
rnacentral:rRNA from 1 species